rnacentral:lncRNA from 1 species
CCCCCCAACCUGCUAACGUUUCCUCCCCCCAACCUGCUAACGUUUCCUCCCCCCCCAACCUGCUAACGUUUCCUCCCCCCCCAACCUGCUAACGUUAACAGUAAGGUCUAUCUGCAUCAGACAGACAGACAGACAGAACUCACUACAGCCUCUCUUUACAUACUAAGAGAAUAGUUUGAAUGUUAACAUUAUGAAUAUAUAGAUUAUUAUGUGGAUAUUUGCAACAACAAACAAACAAAAAAUAUGUUUUUAAUUUUGAUUUUAUGAUGUGAGCCGUUCUGAAGGCUGUAUGUGUUUUAAAGUUGUAAAUAAUGACAUGUUCUGUUAUUAAUAAUAAUUUAAAAAUGUAAAUGAUCUUUCUUAGGGUUUUUUUUUUUUUCAUGAGAGCUUUAUCUGGGCCUGUCUUUAUGCCCGGGUGAUCCUGGCCUGUCUUUAUGUCCGGGUGAUCCUGGCCUGUCUUUAUGUCCGGGUGAUCCUGGCCUGUCUUUAUGUCCGGGUGGUCCUGGCCUGUCUUUAUGUCCGGGUGAUCCUGGCCUGUCUUUAUGCCCGGGUGAUCCUGGCCUGUCUUUAUGCCCGGGUGAUCCUGGCCUGUCUUUAUGCCCGGGUGAUCCUGGCCUGUCUUUAUGCCCGGGUGAUCCUGGCCUGUCUUUAUGCCCGGGUGUUCCUGGCCUGUCUUUAUGCCCGGGUGAUCCUGGCCUGUCUUUAUGCCCGGGUGAUCCUGGCCUGUCUUUAUGCCCGGGUGAUCCCGGGUGGGGUCGAUCGGUCAUCGAGGUGAUCGACCAACCCCAAAGUGCUGCAUGUUUAAUGACGACAGACACCCGUCUCGAUGGCUUGAACCCUGGUCACAAGACAGCAUUUAUCUUCCUGAGCUAAAGGCUGAGCCAAGGCAUUUAUCUCUAGGAGCUAAAACAAAGUCUUCAUGUUCACAAAAUCAACCUCCAUUACAUCAACCUCCCCAAAAAUACAACUUCUGGUCACAUGACUCCAGUCCUCUCUCUCUGACUCUCUCUCUCUCUCUCUGACUCUCUCUCUCUCUCUGACUGACUGUCUCUCUCGCUCGCUCUCUCUCUCUCUCUCUGACUCUCUCUCUGACUGACUCUCCCUCUGACUCUCUCUCUCCCUCUGACCCUCUCUCUGACCCUCUCUCUCUCUGACUCUCUCUCUCUCUGACUCUCUCUCUCUCUGACUCUCUCCUGACCCAAUCUGAGAGGACGGGUAGAGGAGGCUAGUUAAUAACACCAGGGGUUGUACCGCCCUGGGGGAGAAGUCGGCCCUAACCACAGCUCUAGGAUCAGCCCCCCCCUCCUCUUAAAGCAAAGGAGGGGAAACAUAUAACUGGUUCAAGGUCAGCGUCUGUCAGCCCCGCGUGUGUAAAUAUAACUGGAUGUUUUUCAACUCUGCUUUUAUCUUCCUGAGUCUCGAUCAUUCGCCUCGAGAACAGCCAUGGUCAAAACGGAGGGGGGCUGAAUAUUAAAUUAGAACAGCCAUGGUCAGAACAGAGGGAGGGGCUGAAUAUUAAAUUAGAACAGCCAUGGUCAAAACGGAGGGAGGAGGGGCUGAAUAUUAAAUUAGAACAGCCAUGGUCAGAACGGAGGGGGGCUGAAUAUUAAAUUAGAACAGCCAUGGUCAGAACGGAGGGAGGUGAAUACUAAAUUAGAACAGCCAUGGUCAGAACAGAGGGAGGGGGAUAUUAAAUUAGAACAGCCGUGGUCAAAACGGAGGGAGGGGCUGAAUAUUAAAUUAGAAGAGCCAUGGUCAGAACGGAGGGAGGGGCUGAAUAUUAAAUUAGAACAGCCAUGGUCAGAACGGAGGGAGGGGCUGAAUAUUAAAUUAGAAGAGCCAUGGUCAGAACAGAGGGAGGGGGAUAGUAAAUUAUAGAACAGCCAUGGUCAGAACAGAGGGAGGGGCUGAAUAUUAAAUUAGAACAGCCAUGGUCAGAACAGAGGGAGGGGCUGAAUAUUAAAUUAGAAGAGCCAUGGUCAGAACGGAGGGAGGAGGGGCUGAAUAUUAAAUUAGAACAGCCAUGGUCAGAACGGAGGGGGGCUGAAUAUUAAAUUAGAACAGCCAUGGUCAGAACAGAGGGAGGGGGAUAUUAAAUUAGAACAGCCAUGGUCAGAACGGAGGGAGGGGCUGAAUAUUAAAUUAGAAGAGCCAUGGUCAGAACGGAGGGAGGAGGUGAAUAUUAAAUUAGAACAGCCAGGGUCAGAACGGAGGGAGGGGCUGAAUAUUAAAUUAGAAGAGCCAUGGUCAGAACGGAGGGAGGGGGAUAUUAAAUUAGAACAGCCAUGGUCAGAACAGAGGGAGGUGAAUAUUAAAUUAGAACAGCCAUGGUCAGAACGGAGGGAGGGACUGAAUAUUAAAUUAGAACAGCCAGGGUCAGAACGGAGGGAGGGACUGAAUAUUAAAUUAGAACAGCCAUGGUCAGAACGGAGGGAGGGACUGAAUAUUAAAUUAGAACAGCCAUGGUCAGAACGGAGGGAGGAGGUGAAUAUUAAAUUAGAACAGCCAUGGUCAGAACGGAGGGAGGGGCUGAAUAUUAAAUUAGAACAGCCAUGGUCAGAACGGAGGGAGGGACUGAAUAUUAAAUUAGAAGAGCCAUGGUCAGAACGGAGGGAGGUGAAUAUUAAAUUAGAACAGCCAUGGUCAGAACGGAGGGAGGGGCUGAAUAUUAAAUUAGAACAGCCAUGGUCAGAACGGAGGGAGGGACUGAAUAUUAAAUUAGAAGAGCCAUGGUCAGAACGGAGGGAGGUGAAUAUUAAAUUAGAACAGCCAUGGUCAGAACGGAGGGAGGGGCUGAAUAUUAAAUUAGAACAGCCAUGGUCAGAACGGAGGGAGGGACCAUACUACUCUUCCUGUUCUGUUGUUUUUACUUUCGCCUGUGAGCAUCGACAGACCAGAGUGGUUUCUGGGCCCCGCUGCAAGAGAGUGUGUGUGUGUUGUAUAUACUCUGCUGUGUGGGUGUGUGUGUGUGUGUGUUGUAUAUCUACUCGUGUGUUGACAGUAUGAAACGUGGUGGUCUGUGGGAAUGUGGCGGUCUGUGGGAAUGUGGCGGUCUGUGGGAAUGUGGCGUGUUUGCAGUGAUGCAUCUAUGGACAUCCUCUCAGAAUAAAUAAAUGUUCUAUACAAACUGUUCCCCUCGACUCUUUUACUACUGUCUGUCUGUCUGUCUGCCUGUCUGCCUGUCUGUGUACAGUUGAAGUCUGUAAACAUCCACUUAGGUUGGAGUCAUUAAAACUUGUUUUUCAGCCAUUCCACAAAUUUCUUGUUAACAAACUAUAGUUUUGGCAAGUCGGUUAGGACAUCUACUUUGUGCAUGACACAAGUCAUUUUUCCAACAAUUGUUUACAG